rnacentral:rRNA from 1 species
AGCGAACCCGCUGGCGGCAGGCCUAAUACAUGCAAGUCGAACGGUCUCUUCGGAGGCAGUGGCGGACGGGUGAGUAACGCGUGGGAACGUGCCCUUUGGUACGGAACAACUGAGGGAAACUUCAGCUAAUACCGUAUGUGCCCUUCGGGGAAAGAUUUAUCGCCAUUGGAGCGGCCCGCGUUGGAUUAGCUAGUUGGUGGGGUAAUGGCCCACCAAGGCGACGAUCCAUAGCUGGUCUGAGAGGAUGAUCAGCCACACUGGGACUGAGACACGGCCCAGACUCCUACGGGAGGCAGCAGUAGGGAAUCUUGCGCAAUGGGCGAAAGCCUGACGCAGCCAUGCCGCGUGAAUGAUGAAGGUCUUAGGAUUGUAAAAUUCUUUCACCGGGGGACGAUAAUGACGGUACCCGGAGAAGAAGCCCCGGCUAACUUCGUGCCAGCAGCCGCGGUAAU